CAAGAGCCAGACGGUUGUUACCGGUUUAAAAGGCAGCGCCACAGCGGGUCUGGACUUGGAGCCAGCCAGGCAGGUCUUCGUACAUUGGAAAGGUUGCUUGAACUCCAUUUACCUCAGCAGAAGAAGGAGAGAAGAGUCCCUCUAUCUUGGAUUUUUUUCUAUGGUGUUGCUAGGAGUAAGGAAAAUGUACAACCUGUGAUUCCUAUGUGGAAUCAAAUGAAACUUAAAAAAAGCUGGCCAGGUCCAUUUUUGCCAAAUGCCAAGCACUACGGAAUAAAACUGAACACUCAACUAUUGGAGCAGAAAUGGUGAAAGCAGAAUGCAAGCUAUAGUUCAUUCGGCCAAGCCAGCUGAAUCCAGCAGAGCUGGUCUCCUUAGCAGAAUAUGCCAUAGUCAUGGGCCCAGUGGCAAAGGCACUAACUAUUUUCCAAGCAGAGACGAGCGCACGAAUGGGAUAGUUGCUUCCUACACUAUACCAGCUGGAUUCAAAACUGUAAAGAUUGAAGAUGUCCUCCAAGUUCUGUAGGCCACUGGUAGAUGCACUUCAGCGUGUUAUUAAGAAGCAUUUUGCUGAAAUGUUCGAGGACCCGGAGUUGAUCACAGCUGCCAUCUUGCUGCCAAAAUUUAAGACUGCUUGGACCAAGCAUGAUUCUGUGAUUAGAAAAGCCGCACCAGCUGUGCGUGCAGGGAGCACCACCCUGCCCGGGACAUGCUCCCGUACCCGAGGGCUCCGCAGGACCACCCGUGCAGUGGAGGGGUACCAACAGCAGCACCUGGGGGCACUGCGAGCCCUGCACUGCACU